GCCUGAAAGCACAGAGGCUCAUGAAAACACAACAGAAUGGCAAAUUUGGUGGCUCUUUGUUAUUCCUCAGAUGUGUUUCCUCAGUGAUUCCUGGAUGACCUUUGCCUUGUCAGCGUAUAGGCAGGAAUUAUGCACAAUCCAAUAACAUGCAUUUUUCUCCUAAGGAAAAUCCCUAGUGAUUAUGAAUUACAGAAUCGUUACCAUGUACAUAAAGCAAGUUCCUCGGGGAGGUUUAUCUGAGGGACCCAGGUAGGAACCACACCUUCAACUGCAUAUUAACCACCAUAAAAAGAGGUUAGGUUGGAAACGCAAGAAGAAUGGAACAACAAUUUCCAGCUCCAAGUGGAAUCCCAAAGUACAGAGCAGCAAAUGAACACCAAUGGGAAAAAUCACAUUUUGAACUUUUUCAAGAUGCAAUUGGUCCAUCUCUGAUUACACCUUACACACUUUGCAGUAUGCUGCUGCAUUUCUAGCUAUUCUUGUUAGACAUUCCUCACUUGUGUUUGACAAAUAAUGCUCAUUGUAGUCCAAGUGAAAUCAGCUGCAUGCUUGACAGCAGAACCACUGCUACUGGCCAACACACCAAAAAGAUGUUUGAAAUAAUUUCACAGCUCAGAAUCGCUAGGAGAUCAAAGAGUCAAAGGUCAUAAUUGGGCACUGUGGAAUGCAGGAAGCAAUUAACUCUUUCUUUCCUUCCCUGCAGCUUGUGUUUCGGGACAGGGAAUAAUUACUAGCACUGACAAUAGUCAGCCCAAGAAGAAUAAGAAAUAUGUGUGUGUGUGAGUGAGUGAGGGGAGGAGGUAUUUUUAAAAGGCCUCUUGGAUACAUUUAGUUUUCAAGCUAAAAAUAGGAGAGAGAUUGAGAUGCACAAUGAUCCAAGCAAUUGUGGCUAUUAGGAACGAAUGAAUUGGUUUGGGGAGGAAGAUGAUAAAUCCUGAAUUGUUGACUGCAUUCUGGGUAGCUUCUGAGCCAGCAACAGGGUAGGACCCGCAGAAGAAAGAAUGCUAGGCAUAUGGCUUGCCUCACUGUCCCCUUAUGAUAAGGAAUCUGUUGGAGAGUCAGUGAUUGGGAAUUGAGAGUUUAGGA